rnacentral:rRNA from 1 species
GACAGAGGGUGCAAGCGUUGUUCGGAAUUACUGGGCGUAAAGCGCGUGUAGGCGGCCCUGCAAGUCGGGUGUGAAAUCCCACGGCUCAACCGUGGAAGUGCACUCGAAACUGCAGGGCUAGAGUCCUGGAGAGGAAGGUGGAAUGCCUGGUGUAGAGGUGAAAUUCGUAGAUAUCAAGCGGAACACCGGUGGCGAAGGCGGCCUUCUGGACAGUGACUGACGCUGAGACGCGAAAGCGUGGGGAGCAAACAGG